GGAAGGAUCAUUAUUGAAUAAACUUGAACAGGCUGUUGCUGGCCCCAAGGGGUAUGUGCACGCUUGUCAUCUUUAUCUCUCCAACUGUGCACAUAUUGUAGACCUGGGAAGUAUUGAUUGUUUGAGUAAAAAUCAGAUAGAUUGAGGACUGCUGUGCUUUCAAACUAAAGUCAGCUUUGCCUUGUAUUUCCAGGUCUAUGUUUCACAACCUCUGAACAUGUUUAGAAUGUACCUAUAAAAGUUAAAUAUACAACUUUCAGCAACGGAUCUCUUGGCUCUUGCAUCGAUGAAGAACGCAGCGAAAUGCGAUAAGUAAUGUGAAUUGCAGAAUUCAGUGAAUCAUCGAAUCUUUGAACGCAUCUUGCGCUCCUUGGUAUUCCGAGGAGCAUGCCUGUUUGAGUGUCAUUAAGUUCUCAACCGCACCAAGUUCUAUGGUGUAGGCUUGGAUAUUGGGGGUUUUGUUUGCAGGCUUCAUUUUUGUAAAAAGGAAGUCAGCUCCCCUGAAAUGUAUUAGUAGUAUCUGAGCAGAAUCUACUACAGGUGUGAUAAUUAUCUAUGCCUUGGUGUACUGCAUGAACAGAUUACACUGCUUCUAACAAGUGAACCCUGUGUGGGCCACAUUUGACAAAUUUGACCUCAAAUCAGGUAGGACUACCCGCUGAACUUAAGCAUAUCAAUAAGCGGAGGAAAAGAAACUAACAAGGAUUCCCCUAGUAACUGCGAGUGAAGCGGGAAAAGCUCAAAUUUGAAAUCUGGCGGUUUUUGACUGUCCGAGUUGUAAUCUAGAGAAGUGUUACCUGUGCUGGACCGUGUACAAGUCUCCUGGAAUGGAGCAUCAUAGAGGGUGAGAAUCCCGUCUUUGACAUGGACUACCUGUACAUUAUGGUGUGCUCUCAAAGAGUCGAGUUGUUUGGGAAUGCAGCUCAAAAUGGGUGGUAAAUGCCAUCUAAAGCUAAAUAUUGGCGAGAGACCGAU
rnacentral:rRNA from 1 species